rnacentral:lncRNA from 10 species
UCAAGGAGAUCUUCCCUAAGGGUACUUGGCUGUGGCUCCAUGAAUACGGAUUCUGUAAUUUCUUUCCUCCUCCAAAUGAAGAUUGCUGAUUUCCUGCCAGAGAUGGACUUAAUUUCCAGAGCCUUAUAGUUUAUGAACUUGGAUGAAAAUACAGAAGCACAUUUUCCCUAUAGACACAUGAAGAAACCCCUCAGAGACUCUUCAAAAAAUGCAAACACAUAAAAAGCAAAUUUGAUUCAGCAAGUUUACCAUUAACAAAACCUCCUUUGGGGGCAGGGAUGGUGUAGUGAUAGUAUAGGCUGUUAGAAAGAAGCUUAGAAACUGCCCUAUUGAACAAAGCAAGCUAAAGGCAGAGAGAUUCUGGAGUAAAACAGCAGCUGUGCAGUGAGGACCCUGAGC